CCCGCUGAACUUAAGCAUAUCAAUAAGCGGAGGAAAAGAAACUAACAAGGAUUCCCCUAGUAACUGCGAGUGAAGCGGGAAAAGCUCAAAUUUAAAAUCUGGCGGUCUCGCGGCCGUCCGAGUUGUAAUCUGGAGAAGCGUUUAUCCGCGUCGGACCGUGUACAAGUCUUCUGGAAGGGAGCGUCAUAGAGGGUGAGAAUCCCGUCUUUGACACGGACAACCGAUGCUUUUGUGAUGCGCUCUCGAAGAGUCGAGUUGUUUGGGAAUGCAGCUCAAAAUGGGUGGUAAAUUCCAUCUAAAGCUAAAUAUAGGCCAGAGACCGAUAGCGCACAAGUAGAGUGAUCGAAAGGUGAAAAGCACUUUGAAAAGAGAGUGAAAUAGUACGUGAAAUCGUUGCAGGGGAAGCGCUGGUUACCAGUCGCGCACCGGGGGGAUCAGCCGCCGCUUCGGCGUCGGUGUACUCCCUCCGGCUGCGGGUCAGCACCGGCUCUCGCGGCGGGAAAAUUGCCCGGGGAACGUGGCCCGCCCUUCGGGGUGGGUGUUAUAGCCCCGGGCGCAGUACCGCCCGCUGGGGGCCGAGGAUUCGCGCCAUUGGCUCGGAUGCUGGCAUAAUGGUCAUCAGCGUCCCGUCUUGAAACACGG
rnacentral:rRNA from 1 species